rnacentral:tRNA from 1 species
GGAGGAGUACCCAAGUGGCUGAAGGGACUGGUCUUGAAAACCAGCAGAUGUGAGAGCAUGCGUGGGUUCGAAUCCCACCUCCUCCGCCA